rnacentral:tRNA from 1 species
GCCUGGAUGGCUCAAUGGUUGAGCACCUGCCUUCCGCCCAGGGCAUGACCCUGGAGUCCUGGAAUCGAGUCCCACUUUGGGCU